rnacentral:rRNA from 1 species
UACGGGGGGGGCAAGCGUUGUUCGGAAUUACUGGGCGUAAAGGGCUCGUAGGCGGCCAACUAAGUCAGACGUGAAAUCCCUCGGCUUAACCGGGGAACUGCGUCUGAUACUGGAUGGCUUGAGGUUGGGGAGAGGGAUGCGGAAUUCCAGGUGUAGCGGUGAAAUGCGUAGAUAUCUGGAGGAACACCGGUGGCGAAGGCGGCAUCCUGGACCAAUUCUGACGCUGAGGAGCGAAAGCCAGGGGAGCAAACGGGG